UACGUAGGGUGCGAGCGUUGUCCGGAAUUACUGGGCGUAAAGCGCACGUAGGCGGGUUGUUAAGUCAGGGGUGAAAUCCUGGAGCUCAACUCCAGAACUGCCUUUGAUACUGGCAACCUAGAGACUGGAAGAGGUUAGUGGAAUUCCCAGUGUAGAGGUGAAAUUCGUAGAUAUUGGGAAGAACACCAGUGGCGAAGGCGGCUAACUGGUCCAGCACUGACGCUGAGGUGCGAAAGCGUGGGGAGCAAACAGG
rnacentral:rRNA from 1 species